CAGGGACCCACUGUACCCCAAGAGGCACUCCAAGUUUCCUUCAGAGAGGAAAAAGAGAGACGGGGCUCCUAGAACCCACUCUCCCCAAAGGCGAGUUUCCCAGGCCCGCGCGGCCGCUACCUGCAGCACUUGGCCAGGCUCUCCCGCAGCGUCUUGCGCUCCUGCAGGCGCCGCUCGUGCUGUUGCUGGAAAGCGAGCUCGCUGUAGACCGGCCGCGACACCAUGUAGCUGCAGCUGUACUCGGGGAGCUGCGGCGGCUCCGACCUGCCGCCUGGCGCUGCCAUGACCUGCGAGCCAGAGGACAGCGAGGAGGGAGGACACGCGACAAAGUUGCACAGGCUGGAGUACAGUGGUGCAAUCUCGGCUCACUGCAAUGUCCGCCUCCUGGGUUCAAGUGAUUCUCCUGCCUCAGUGGUACAAUCUUGGCUCACUGCAACGUCCGCCUCCAGGUUCAAGUGAUUCUUCUGCCUCAGCCUCCCGAGUAGCUGGGAUUACAGGCAUGAGCCACUUUGUUCCAAGAUCUCAUCCAGACAUGAUCUCAUUCUGUUGCCCAGGGUGAGUGCAGUGGCACCUUCAUGGCUCAUUGCAGUCUCGAUCUCCCAGGCUCAAGCGAUCCUCCCACCUCAGCCUCCCAAAGUGCUGGGAUUGCAGGCGUGAGCCACCUUGCCCAGCCCAUUCUGCAAUCUUCGGAAGGAAGUCACUAUAUGCAGCCUAUGCUUGAGGAGUGGGGAGUUGAAUUCCACAUCCUUGAGGGCAGAAUACCUAAAUAAAUUAUUUGGAAUUCUUCUGC
rnacentral:lncRNA from 1 species